rnacentral:misc_RNA from 1 species
GAUGAAGAACGUAGCGAAAUGCGAUAAGUAGUGUGAAUUGCAGAAUUCAGUGAAUCAUCGAAUCUUUGAACGCACAUUGCGCCCCUUGGUAUUCCAUGGGGCAUGCCUGUUCGAGCGUCAUUUGUACCCUCAAGCUUUGCUUGGUGUUGGGCGUCUUGUCGUAUUACGACUCGCCUUAAAUACAUUGGCAGCCGGCACUUUGGCCUAGGAGCGCAGCACAUUUUGCGAUCGUAGCCCGUUGUACUGGCGUACAUCAAGAACAUUUACCACGUUUGACCUCGGAUCAGGUAGGGAUACCCGCUGAACUUAAGCAUAUCAAUAAGCGGAGGA